AAAUUGAAGAGUUUGAUCAUGGCUCAGAUUGAACGCUGGCGGCAGGCCUAACACAUGCAAGUCGAGCGGUAGCACAGAGAGCUUGCUCUCAGGUGACGAGCGGCGGACGGGUGAGUAAUGUCUGGGAAACUGCCUGAUGGAGGGGGAUAACUACUGGAAACGGUAGCUAAUACCGCAUAAUGUCGCAAGACCAAAGUGGGGGACCUUCGGGCCUCAUGCCAUCAGAUGUGCCCAGAUGGGAUUAGCUGGUAGGUGGGGUAACGGCUCACCUAGGCGACGAUCCCUAGCUGGUCUGAGAGGAUGACCAGCCACACUGGAACUGAGACACGGUCCAGACUCCUACGGGAGGCAGCAGUGGGGAAUAUUGCACAAUGGGCGCAAGCCUGAUGCAGCCAUGCCGCGUGUGUGAAGAAGGCCUUCGGGUUGUAAAGCACUUUCAGCGGGGAGGAAGGCGGUGAGGUUAAUAACCUCAUCGAUUGACGUUACCCGCAGAAGAAGCACCGGCUAACUCCGUGCCAGCAGCCGCGGUAAUACGGAGGGUGCAAGCGUUAAUCGGAAUUACUGGGCGUAAAGCGCACGCAGGCGGUCUGUCAAGUCGGAUGUGAAAUCCCCGGGCUCAACCUGGGAACUGCAUUCGAAACUGGCAGGCUAGAGUCUUGUAGAGGGGGGUAGAAUUCCAGGUGUAGCGGUGAAAUGCGUAGAGAUCUGGAGGAAUACCGGUGGCGAAGGCGGCCCCCUGGACAAAGACUGACGCUCAGGUGCGAAAGCGUGGGGAGCAAACAGGAUUAGAUACCCUGGUAGUCCACGCUGUAAACGAUGUCGAUUUGGAGGUUGUGCCCUUGAGGCGUGGCUUCCGGAGCUAACGCGUUAAAUCGACCGCCUGGGGAGUACGGCCGCAAGGUUAAAACUCAAAUGAAUUGACGGGGGCCCGCACAAGCGGUGGAGCAUGUGGUUUAAUUCGAUGCAACGCGAAGAACCUUACCUGGUCUUGACAUCCACAGAACUUUCCAGAGAUGGAUUGGUGCCUUCGGGAACUGUGAGACAGGUGCUGCAUGGCUGUCGUCAGCUCGUGUUGUGAAAUGUUGGGUUAAGUCCCGCAACGAGCGCAACCC
rnacentral:rRNA from 1 species